UAAAGCUAGUAAGGGCAUAGGGUGGAUGCCUUGGCACCAAGCGCCGAUGAAGGACGUGACAAGCUGCGAUAAGCUGCGGGGAGCUGCAAAUGAGCCUCGAUCCGCAGAUUUCCGAAUGGGGAAACCCACCGACGGUAAUGCGUCGGUAUCUCCGUAUGAACACAUAGUACGGUUGAAGGGAACCCGGGGAACUGAAACAUCUCAUUACCCGGAGGAAAAGAAAGUAAAACAACGAUUUUGUGAGUAGUGGUGAGCGAAAGCGAAACAGCCCAAACCGGAGAAAUUUAUUUCGAUGGGGUUUUGGACCUGCAUAAUUCGAAGAAUUGAUAGCCGAACACAGUUGGAAAACUGGGCGAAACAAAGUAAUAGCCUUGUAAGCGAAAUCAAUUUCAGAUGGCGGGUAUCCGGAGUACCACGGGACACGUGUAAUCCAGUGGGAAGACAGGAGGACCAUCUCCUAAGGCUAAAUACGACUUGGUGACCGAUAGCGUAUAGUACCGUGAGGGAAAGGUGAAAAGAACCCCGGGAGGGGAGUGAAAGAGAACCUGAAACCCUAUGCUUACAAGCAGACGCAGCACCACUUAAGGUGUGGCGUCGUACUUUUUGUAGAACGGGCCGGCGAGUUACGUUGCGUAGCGAGGUUAAGUGAUUAAGUCACGGAGCCGUAGCGAGAGCGAGUCUUAACCGGGCGAUUUAGUUGCGUGACGUAGACCCGAAACCGGAUGACCUAUCCAUGGACAGGUUGAAGCAGUGGUAAGACACUGUGGAGGACCGAACCCACGUUCGUUGAAAAGACCGGGGAUGAGCUGUGGAUAGCGGAGAAAUUCCAAUCGAAUCCGGAUAUAGCUGGUUCUCCUCGAAAUAGCUUUAGGGCUAGCCUCUCGUUAGAGUACUGAAGGUAGAGCACUGAAUGGGCUAGGGGGCUUCACAGCUUACUGAACCUUAUCAAACUUCGAAUGACAGAUACUUGAUGCGAGGGAGUCAGACAGCGUGAGAUAAGUUUCGUUGUCAAAAGGGAAACAGCCCAGAUCUACAACUAAGGUCCCUAAGUACAAGUUAAGUGGUAAAGGAUGUGCCAAUGCUAAAACAACCAGGAUGUUGGCUUAGAAGCAGCCACUCAUUUAAAGAGUGCGUAAUAGCUCACUGGUCGAGUGAGGGUGCGCCGAAGAUUACCGGGGCUAAAACUUGUCACCGAAGUUUAGGGAUGCAGUUUACUGCAUCGGUAGAGGAGCAAUGUAUGCGGGCAGAAGCGAUAUCGUAAGGGGUCGUGGACUGCAUACAAGAGAGAAUGCCGGCAUAAGUAGCGCGAGCAAAGUGAGAAUCUUUGCCGUCGAAUGCCUAAGGUUUCCUGGGGAAGGUUCGUCCUCCCAGGGUAAGUCGGGACCUAAGCCGAGGCCGAAAGGCGUAGGUGAUGGACAACAGGUAGAUAUUCCUGUACCGCCAAAUGACGCUUAAAUGAGGCAAUGACACAGUAGGAUAGUCAAUCCGCGGCGUUGGAUUGCUGCGGCCAAAUCAUGAGGCUGAUGUGUAGUGAAGUACGCACAUCGUCAGGCUAGGUGAUGAUGGGGAGUGAAAACUAGUAACGAAGUUGAUGAAUUCACACUGGCGAGAAAAGUUGCUAAAUAUGUUGUUAGGCGCCCGUACCGCAAACCGACACAGGUGGGCGAGGAGAAAAUCCUAAGACGGACGGGAGAACCCUUGUUAAGGAACUCUGCAAAAUGACCCCGUAACUUCGGGAGAAGGGGAGCCUGCUAUGCAGGCCGCAGUGAAGAGGCCCAAGCGACUGUUUACCAAAAACACAGGUCUCUGCUAAAUCGAAAGAUGAAGUAUAGGGGCUGACGCCUGCCCAGUGCUGGAAGGUUAAGGGGAUGUGUUAGCGCAAGCGAAGCACGGAACUUAAGCCCCAGUGAACGGCGGCCGUAACUAUAACGGUCCUAAGGUAGCGAAAUUCCUUGUCAGGUAAG
rnacentral:rRNA from 1 species